rnacentral:rRNA from 1 species
GAUGAACGCUGGCGGCGUGCCUAAUACAUGCAAGUCGAGCGAACGGACGAGAAGCUUGCUUCUCUGAUGUUAGCGGCGGACGGGUGAGUAACACGUGGAUAACCUACCUAUAAGACUGGGAUAACUUCGGGAAACCGGGGCUAAUACCGGAUAAUAUUUUGAACCGCAUGGUUCAAAAGUGAAAGGCGGUCUUGCUGUCACUUAUAGAUGGAUCCGCGCUGCAUUAGCUAGUUGGUAAGGUAACGGCUUACCAAGGCAACGAUGCAUAGCCGACCUGAGAGGGUGAUCGGCCAAACGGGAACUGAGACACGGUCCAGACUCCUACGGGAGGCAGCAGUAGGGAAUCUUCCGCAAUGGGCGAAAGCCUGACGGAGCAACGCCGCGUGAGUGAUGAAGUUCUUCGGAUCGUAAAACUCUGUUAUUAGGGAAGAACAUAUGUGUAAGUAACUGUGCACAUCUUGACGGUACCUAAUCAGAAAGCCACGGCUAAGUACGUG